rnacentral:tRNA from 1 species
GGAGCUGUGGCCUAGUGACCGGGCACCGGACUUUUAAUCCGGCUCAGGGCGAGUUUGAAUCUCCCCGGCUCUACCA